rnacentral:rRNA from 1 species
UACGUAGGGUGCAAGCGUUGUCCGGAUUUAUUGGGCGUAAAGAGCUCGUAGGCGGUUUGGCAAGUCGGGUGUGAAACCUCCAGGCUCAACCUGGAGACGCCACUCGAUACUGCUAUGACUUGAGUCUGGUAGGGGAUCACGGAAUUCCUGGUGUAGCGGUGAAAUGCAUAGAUAUCAGGAGGAAUACCGGUGGCGAAGGCGGUGAUCUGGGCCAGUACUGACGCUGAGGAGCGAAAGCGUGGGGAGCGAACAGG